rnacentral:rRNA from 1 species
UAGAGACUCAGAGCUGCAUAUCAAUAAGCGGAGGAAAAGAAACUAACUAAGGAUUCCCUUAGUAACGGCGAGUGAAGCGGGAAGAGCUCAAAUUCGAAAUCUUCAAGGUUCUACCUUGACGAAUUGUAGUUUAAAGAAGUGUUUUCUGUUGGAGUUUUGGUAAAAGUUCUUUGGAAUAGGACAUCAUAGAGGGUGAGAAUCCCGUAUUUGACCAUUUCUUCCAGCUGUGUGAUACACUUUCAAAGAGUCGGAUUGUUUGGGAAUGCAGUCCAAAAUGGGUGGUAAAUUUCAUCUAAAGCUAAAUAUUGGCGAGAGACCGAUAGCGAACAAGUACCGUGAGGGAAAGAUGAAAAGAACUUUGAAAAGAGAGUUAAACAGUACGUGAAAUUGUCAAAAGGGAAGCGUUUGACACCAGUGUUGUUUUCUCGAAAAUCAAUUAAAAAUGACCGGAUUUUGUGUUGUAUUGACUUUAUCAGCUUUCUGCACUUUUUUCUCGUCUUUUUUAAUGCACUUUUCGUUUAACAAGUCAACAUCAAUUUCUUUUGUUGUAAAAGAGUCAUUGGAAGGUGGCUUUCACUUCGGUGAAAGUGUUUAUAGCCUUUGGCUUCUGCAAUCGGAGAGAUUGAGGUCUGCAGCGUAGAUCCUUCGGGGUUAGAUACAUUUGUGCUAAGUUAUAGUUUUUCAUAGACAACAUGUUGACUAUGAUUAAUCAUGUAGCUUACUCGCUUAUGCUAUUUUACCUACGCUUAGGAUGUUG